AGAGUUUGAUCCUGGCUCAGGACGAACGCUGGCGGCGUGCUUAACACAUGCAAGUCGAACGGGAUUUAGUAGACAGAAGCCUCGGUGGAAGAUUACUAAUGAGAGUGGCGAACGGGUGAGUAACGCGUGAGCAACCUGCCUAUGACAGUGGGAUAGCCUCGGGAAACCGGGAUUAAUACCGCAUAAAAUCGUAGAAACACAUGUUUUAACGGUCAAAGAUUUAUCGGUCAUAGAUGGGCUCGCGUCUGAUUAGCUAGUUGGUGAGAUAACAGCCCACCAAGGCGACGAUCAGUAGCCGGUCUGAGAGGAUGAACGGCCACAUUGGAACUGAGACACGGUCCAAACUCCUACGGGAGGCAGCAGUGGGGAAUAUUGCACAAUGGGGGAAACCCUGAUGCAGCGACGCCGCGUGAACGAAGAAGGUAUUCGUAUCGUAAAGUUCUGUCCUAUGGGAAGAUAAUGACAGUACCAUAGAAGAAAGCUCCGGCUAAAUACGUGCCAGCAGCCGCGGUAAU
rnacentral:rRNA from 1 species